CGUUGUGCUAGUUUUUUAAGUCACCACCUCUCCAGUGGGGUAGUACUCUCUCUAUUACUAUACACUUAAAAUUGGUGAAGGAAAACAAAGGGCAGGCAUUACAAUGAAUGGGCACAGAAUGGGGUGUAAGAUUAUUUUUAAUAUUAGAUGUUCCAUUAGUCUUACUUUGAGGAUCCUUUUUGUGCGGCUGACAUAUUGUUUGCCACACGAACACUGUAGUAAACAAACAACAUAGUCCGUGUGGCAUCCUAUGUCUGAUUUAAUAUUAAACCUAUCACCUGUGAUAAAACUGGAGAAAGAGUGGGUUCUGGAUAUUAAGCCGGUGGUACAUGUUUUGUAUGUAUUACAUCCUCUGAAAAUUCCCAGCUGAUUGGGAGCAUUUGUCGACGUGGGCUUAAGGGCAUAACUAGGAGCUAGCAUGUUCUUAAAAUUAAUUCCUUUUGUAAAUAACUCUAGGUUGAUUCAAUAAUGUUGUUCCUAAAAUUGAGUCCUGUAAUAUAAUUGGCCAGUAUUGUUGUAAACUCUUUUUUAUCCUCCUAUGUUCAGUGUUGUAUUGUGUUAUAAAUACAGUGGUAAAAUUUUAAUUGGAGGUUUUGACCAAGGGUUUAUCCCUCAAUAAUUGAUUUCUGUCUGUUUUGCUAACCGAAUUUCCCUUUCUAAAGGUAUUUUUCUUAUAACCUUUCUCUAACAGUUUAUUUUGUUGGAUGUUGGAACGCGGAAGUACAGAACGGGCUCCACUUCCGAUUUCAACUCACCGCGCCAAUUUUGGACGAAGAGAAAAGAGAAUACACACUCCACACCUGAAUAGGACCACAGGAUCAUUGGUAACACCCACAAGAUCCACCAAUGAACUGAGGGUUUAGCCCUAUUUAGAGACUCA